rnacentral:lncRNA from 1 species
CAGUCACCAAAGACUCAAAUAAAGGGAGAAGCGAUAAAAGUAAUACCAACGUCCUAAUCUUCUCCUCAACUUUCUCACCAAUGCUGAGGAGAUCAGUGAGGAUUUUUUGAAAGUUGCUGAGAUGCUUCUGCACGCUCUGUCCAUCUCUCAUUCGUAGCUAGUAGAACUACUUCUAGAGGAAGAUAGUGUUGAUGAGUGACUUCGUCAU